CAGUCGCCGCGGGAAAACGUAGGUGGCAAGCGUUGUCCGGAAUUAUUGGGCGUAAAGGGCUCGCAGGCGGUUUCUUAAGUCUGAUGUGAAAGCCCCCGGCUCAACCGGGGAGGGUCAUUGGAAACUGGGAAACUUGAGUGCAGAAGAGGAGAGUGGAAUUCCACGUGUAGCGGUGAAAUGCGUAGAGAUGUGGAGGAACACCAGUGGCGAAGGCGACUCUCUGGUCUGUAACUGACGCUGAGGAGCGAAAGCGUGGGGAGCGAACAGGAUUAGAUACCCGAGUAGUCCCUGUCUCUUAUAC
rnacentral:rRNA from 1 species